rnacentral:rRNA from 1 species
UACGGAGGAUGCGAGCGUUAUCCGGAUUUAUUGGGUUUAAAGGGUGCGUAGGCGGCGCUUCAGGUCAGCGGUGAAAUACCGGGGCUCAACCCCGGGGCUGCCGUUGAAACUGACGGUCUUGAGUGGGCGAGAAGUAUGCGGAAUGCGUGGUGUAGCGGUGAAAUGCAUAGAUAUCACGCAGAACUCCGAUUGCGAAGGCAGCAUACCGGCGCCCGACUGACGCUGAGGCACGAAAGCGUGGGUAUCGAACAGG